AACGCACAUUGCGCCCAGUGGUAUUCCACUGGGCAUGCCUGUUCGAGCGUUAUUAAGUCCAAAUUAAGCACUGCUUAGCGUUGGAAAUCUGCGAAUAUAACUAUACCAUCAGUAAGACGCUUAGGCUUGCCGGCAUAGUUAACAGCAGUUUCUUAAAUAUAGUUGGCGGAUCUAUGGUAUCCUCUCAGCGUAGUAGCUUUUGUUCUCGCUAUUGUAGGUGCCUAGGACCCUGCCACAAAACCCCCAAAAUUUUCAGGAUUAACCUCGAAUCAGGUAGGAAUACCCGCUGAACUUAA
rnacentral:misc_RNA from 1 species